GACUGCCCCAGUGGCCUAGUGGUUAGAGCAUCUGCCCUGGAUGCAGGAGGUCAUGGGUUUGAACCAUGGAGUCA